rnacentral:rRNA from 1 species
GAGUCUAACAUGUGCGCGAGUCAUUGGGACACGCAAGCCUAAAGGCGAAAUGAAAGUAAAGGUCAGCCUAGCGCCGACCGAGGGAGGAUGGGCCGCGUCACGAUGCGGUCCCGCACUCCCGGGGCGUCUCGUUCUCAUUACGAGAAGAGGCGCACCCAGAGCGUACACGUUGGGACCCGAAAGAUGGUGAACUAUGCCUGGUCAGGACGAAGUCAGGGGAAACCCUGAUGGAGGUCCGUAGCGAUUCUGACGUGCAAAUCGAUCGUCGGAACUGGGUAUAGGGGCGAAAGACUAAUCGAACCAUCUAGUAGCUGGUUCCCUCCGAAGUUUCCCUCAGGAUAGCUGGCACUCGUGUACAAAAGUUACACGAGUCUCAUCCGGUAAAGCGAAUGAUUAGAGGCCUUGGGGCCGAAACGACCUCAACCUAUUCUCAAACUUUAAAUGGGUGAGAUCUCUGGCUUGCUUGAACUAUGAAGCCACGAGAUUUCGGAU